rnacentral:rRNA from 1 species
GACGAACGCUGGCGGCGUGCUUAACACAUGCAAGUCGAACGAUGAAGCCGGAGCUUGCUCUGGUGAAUUAGUGGCGAACGGGUGAGUAACACGUGAGUAACCUGCCCUUGACUCUGGGAUAACUGCUAGAAAUGGUAGCUAAUACCGGAUACGACCCUCGGAGGCAUCUCCAGGGGGUGGAAAGAAUUUCGGUCAAGGAUGGACUCGCGGCCUAUCAGCUAGUUGGUGAGGUAACGGCUCACCAAGGCGACGACGGGUAGCCGGCCUGAGAGGGGGACCGGCCACACCGGGACUGAGACACGGCCCAGACUCCUACGGGAGGCAGCAGUGGGGAAUAUUGCACAAUGGGCGCAAGCCUGAUGCAGCAACGCCGCGUGAGGGAUGACGGCCUUCGGGUUGUAAACCUCUUUUAGUAGGGAAGAAGCGAAAGUGACGGUACCUGCAGGAAAAGCACCGGCUAACUACGUGCCAGCAGCCGCCGUAA